CACAGGGUGUGAUUGCUGGGGUGUCCUGUGCAGGGCUGAGAAUUGGAUUCGGUGGCUCCUGGGCGUCCCGUAGGACGGUGGUUCCGUGGCCAGGGAGCAGCAUAGCUCAGCCCCACGACUCCCCCUCGCCCUUGUUUUUUGGUUAAAGUUGGGCAGUCGGGGAAGGUAGGAGAGGAUGCUGCCACAGUUCCCUCAGCACCCCCAGAAAGACCCUUUGGGCCCAGACAGCAGCAGUGCAUUUUGUCUUGUCCUUGCAGUCAUAAGUCCCUUGUGUGUGCUUUUUAUAGAUUAACUUCUCCAGUUUUCUUCUUUCUGUCUCAUCCCACCUCAGCAACCACAAACAUCAUCACCUCCAAACCAACUCUGUGGUGGUCUCCAGCCUACAGAGACCCCUGGCCCCGGCACAGAAGCAGCUCAGGGCAGAGACUUCACAGCCCCAUCCAGAGAACUUGAACCUUCACAAAACCACUCCAGGCAUAACAGAAGCAAAUCCAGGAAUUUUGGAGCUGAUUAAGAACAGUACAGUCAUCUUGUUCAUGACCUUCACUAUUUGUAAGACAGGCAAAACUCAGAAUAUAUCACAUUUGAACAACUUGCCAGCUAGUCAAGCCUAGCAGAAGGAAAGUGGCAAUUUUCAAGUUCAAAAAGCAAGUCAAGAGUCCAAUGUAGCAAUGACAGCUGCCUUUGUGGGGAGUCUGUUUGUCCAUGUGCUGAAUUCCAGUGAAUUUCAAAUAGCCCUGGUCAAAGUGCAAAGAUCCCUCCUCUUUGAGCUGACUGAAGACCUGGGGACAAACUAAUCAGGUCUGAUCCAAGGUCCACUGUGCAUUUCCAGGGAGCAACUAUUGUCAAAUAAAUGCCAUCAUUGAAAUCUGAUCAGGACAGAGGUCUAUUUAAAAACUCCUCAUCUUCCCUC